rnacentral:rRNA from 1 species
GACGAACGCUGGCGGCGUGCCUAAUACAUGCAAGUCGAACGCAGUGGGGACGGGUGAGUAACACGUGGGUAACCUCCCAUCAGAGGGGAUAACACUUGGAAACAGGUGCUAAACUGAUACUGAUUGAUGGACCCGGGGUGCAUUAGCUAGUUGGUGGGGUAACGGCUCACCAAGGCGACGAUGCAUAGCCGGCCUGAGAGGGUGAUCCGCCACACUGGAACUGAGACACGGCCCAGACUCCUACGGGAGGCAGCAGUGGGGAAUAUUCGACAAUGGGCGAAAGUCUGACGGAGCAACGCCGCGUGAGUGAAGAAGGUUUUCGGGUCGUAAAGCUCUGUUGUUAGAGAAGCGGUAUCUAACCAGAAAGCAACGGCUAACUACGUGCCAGCAGCCGCGGUAAUAC